rnacentral:rRNA from 1 species
AGCGAACGCUGGCGGCAGGCCUAACACAUGCAAGUCGAACGAACCUUUCGGGGUUAGUGGCGGACGUGUGAGUAACACGUGGGAACGUGCCUUUAGGUUCGGAAUAACUCAGGGAAACUUGUGCUAAUACCGAAUGUGCCCUUCGGGGGAAAGAUUUAUCGCCUAUAGAGCGGCCCGCGUCUGAUUAGCUAGUUGGUUGAGGUAAUGGCACACCAAGGCGACGAUCAGUAGCUGGUCUGAGAGGAUGAUCAGCCACAUUGGGACUGCGACACGGCCCAAACUCCUACGGGAGGCAGCAGUGGGGAAUCUUGCGCAAGGGGCGAAAGCCUGACGCAGCCAUGCGGCGUGAAUGAUGAAGGUCUUAGGAUUGUAAAAUUCUUUCACCGGAGACGAUAAUGACGGUACCCGGAGAAGAAGCCCCGGCUAACUUCGUG